rnacentral:lncRNA from 1 species
GGUUAUCCUCUCGUUCUAAUCCACAAAGAGCAGUUGUCUUGUUUCCCGUCACUGGAGUGAGAGGGGGGACUUUCAAGACAUCUCCAACAGACAGGAUGAUGGGAAACUUGAUAACAGGGUUUCUCUGUGUAGCCCUGCCUGUCCUGGAACUUACUCUGUUGACCAGGCUGUUCUGGAACUCAGACAUUCCCCUACUUCUGUCUCCUGAGAGCUGAGGUUAAAGGCAUGAACCCCCACACCUGGCUUAUCAUCUGUCUUCUCAACAAGAGACUUCCCACAGAGAAGGGAUUCCAAACCUGGGUUCACAAAGAGAUGCUGAGAUCUAUGUACCCUUUGAGUUGUACAAAAAGGGGCAGGGAGCACAUUUCAGUAGAGAGCCUGCAGACUCUCAUCCAGCCCCGAAAUGAGCGUCCCCCUAAAACCCUAGUCCGGGGCUGAGGUAGAAAGAUUGAGAGCUGGAGACUGGACUGGGUUACAUAACAAGAACCAAUCUAAAAGAAAGAAAAGAGUGUUUCCCCCAAUGCUAAAAGCCGCUCAUGGCACCUUGCCACUCCUCUUCCCUUUCAGCUAAAAAAGCCCAAGAACCUCUAAAGGCAGGCAGCUUGGCUUGAGACAGGUUGGGAGCAGAGGCCAAAAGAAGGCAUUAGAUGCUCUGGAACUGGAGUCACAGAUGGUGAGCUACCAGGUGGGCGCUGGGAAUCCAAGCUGGGUCCUCUAGAUCUAGCCAGUAUGAUCUUACCUGCUGA